GAUAGGCUGAUAAUCAGCUGGGCCGAUACUGGCUGUGUAUCGGCCAUUCCAAUUAUUGGCAUUGGCCGAUAAUCAGCUGGGGCCUAUAAUCACCCCUGGCCAAUUAUCGGCCUAGCCGAUUAUCAGUCUAUCCCUACAGAGCACCAAGAGGGAUUGUAAGCCAAUGUCGAUUAUCACCCAACUGAUUAUCAGUCUAUCCCUACAGAGCACCAAGAGGGAUUGUAAGCCAAUGUCGAUUAUCACCCAACUGAUUAUCGGUCUAUCCCUACAGAAGGGAUUAUUGGCCAAUGUCGAUUAUCACCCAACCAAUUAUCGGUCUAUCCCUACAGAGCACCCAGAGGGAUUAUUGGCCAAUGUCGAUUAUCACCCAACCGAUCGGUCUAUCCCUACAGAGCACCCAGAGGGAUUAUCGGCCAAUGUCGAUUGUCACCCAACUGAGUAUCAGUGUAUCACUA